rnacentral:rRNA from 1 species
UCGGGAAUUUUGCUCAAUGGGGGAAACCCUGAAGCAGCAACGCCGCGUGAGGGAUGAAGGCCUUCGGGUUGUAAACCUCUUUUGUCAGGGACGAUGAUGACGGUACCUGGCGAAUAAGCCACGGCUAACUACGUG